UACGGCUACCUUGUUACGACGCCUCAGCUUCGCGGAUGGGAGGGAUGCUAGAGCUGAGCCCGCCAGGAUCAAACUCUCCGGAGAGUUUGAUCCUGGCUCAGGACGAACGCUGGCGGCAUGCCUAAUACAUGCAAGUCGAACGAACUUUCCCGAUGAUUGAAGCUUGCUUCAUGAAUCGGAUCUAAGUGAGUGGCGGACGGGUGAGUAACACGUGGGUAACCUGCCCAAAAGUGGGGGAUAACAUUUGGAAACAAGUGCUAAUACCGCAUAACAACUACUUUCACAUGAUCGUAGUUUAAAAGAUGGCUCUGCUAUCGCUUUUGGAUGGACCCGCGGCGUAUUAGCUAGUUGGUGAGGUAAAGGCUCACCAAGGCAAUGAUACGUAGCCGACCUGAGAGGGUAAUCGGCCACAUUGGGACUGAGACACGGCCCAAACUCCUACGGGAGGCAGCAGUAGGGAAUCUUCCACAAUGGACGAAAGUCUGAUGGAGCAACGCCGCGUGAGUGAAGAAGGGUUUCGGCUCGUAAAACUCUGUUGUUAAAGAAGAACAUAUCUGAGAGUAACUGUUCAGGUAUUGACGGUAUUUAACCAGAAAGCCACGGCUAACUACGUGCCAGCAGCCGCGGUAAUACGUAGGUGGCAAGCGUUGUCCGGAUUUAUUGGGCGUAAAGAGAAUGUAGGCGGUUUAUUAAGUUUGAAGUGAAAGCCCUCGGCUCAACCGAGGAAGUGCUUCGAAAACUGGUAAACUUGAGUGCAGAAGAGGAAAGUGGAACUCCAUGUGUAGCGGUGGAAUGCGUAGAUAUAUGGAAGAACACCAGUGGCGAAGGCGGCUUUCUGGUCUGUANCUGACGCUG
rnacentral:rRNA from 1 species